rnacentral:rRNA from 1 species
GACGAACGCUGGCGGCGUGCUUAACACAUGCAAGUCGAACGGUAAGGCCCUUCGGGGUACACGAGUGGCGAACGGGUGAGUAACACGUGGGUGAUCUGCCCUGCACUUCGGGAUAAGCCUGGGAAACUGGGUCUAAUACCGGAUAGGACUCCGGACUGCAUGGUCUGGGGUGGAAAGCUUUUGCGGUGUGGGAUGGGCCCGCGGCCUAUCAGCUUGGUGGUUGGGUGAUGGCCUACCAAGGCGACGACGGGUAGCCGGCCUGAGAGGGUGACCAGCCACACUGUGGCUGAGAUGCGGCCCAGACUCCUACGGGAGGCAGCAGUGGGGAAUAUUGCACAAUGGGCGCAAGCCUGGUGCAGCGACGCCGCGUGAGGGAUGACGGCCUUCGGGUUGUAAACCUCUUUCAGCAUCGACGAAGCGAAAGUGACGGUAGGUGCAGAAGAAGGACCGGCCAACUACGUGCCAGCGGCCGCCGUAA